rnacentral:pre_miRNA from 1 species
AAUAAAUAAAUUUUCACUUUUUACCUAUAAUUUUUAACCGUUUGUCUUAUUCAAUUUAUUUUUUGCGAUUGAUAUUUUUGUUUUUAUUAGAUGAUAAAUCAUGAAUAGUACUUUACGUGUGAUUAUUUUUUUUCUAAUUUCCUGAAAAUUUUUUAAAUAAGAUGGAUGGUCAAAUGUUGAAUACGGAAACC